rnacentral:rRNA from 1 species
UUUUUAAUUAAUAAUAUAUAUAUAUAUUAUUUGUAUUUUAUUUAUUUAUAAAAGUAUUUUAUAUAUUUUUUGUUUUAGUAUUAAGUAAAAAUAAAUUUUUAGAUUUAUAGUUGAUUAGUAUUGUAAAAGAAAUUUAAUAAAUUUAAAAAAGAUUUAUUUAGUACCUUUUGUAUCAGGGUUAAUUAAAAUUAUUAAUUUUUUAUUAAUUAAAAAAUAAUUUUAGUUUUUAAAUUUAAUUUCGUUGUAAUAUAUUUAGUUAUUUAAGAUUUAAAUUAAAUUUAUAAUUUUAAUAGUUAUAUUUAUUUAUUUUAUAAUUUAUAUUUUAAAUUUAAAUUAUUUUAGGGAUAAGCUUAAAAUUUAUAUAUAAUAAUUUUAAAAGAGUUAAUAUUUUAUAGAAAUAAAAAUUUUUAUUUAAGUUUGUAAAAAUUUAUUAUUAAUUUAAAUUUAAUUUAUUAUAUUUUAUUUAUUUUUUAUAUUAAAUUUUAUAAUAUAAUAUUUUUAUUAUAGUAAUAAUGAUUAAAUUAGUAUAAUUAAUAUUUAUUAAUUAUGAAUUCGGCAAAAUUUAUUUUCAUCUGUUUAACAAAAACAUUGUAUUAAUUUUUAUUUAAUAUAGAAUCUGCUCAAUGAAAAUUUUUAAAUAGCUGCAGUAUUUUGACUGUGCAAAGGUAGCAUAAUAAUUAGUCUUUUAAUUGAGGACUUGAAUGAAAGAUUUGAUGAAAAAUAGACUUUAUUAUUAAUAUAUUUAAAAUUUUAUUUUUAAGUAAAAAAGCUUAAAUUAUUUAAAGGGACGAUAAGACCCUAUAAAACUUUAUAAUUAUUAAUAUUUAUAUUUAUUUGUUUAAUUAUUAUUUAAAUUUUAAUAAUUAUUUUAUUGGGGUGAUAAAAAAAUUUAAUUAACUUUUUUUAAAAUUUUACAUUAUUUAAUGAAUAUUUGAAUUAAAAUUUUUAAUUAUAAGAAAAAGUUACUUUAGGGAUAACAGCGUAAUUAAUUUUUUAAGUUCAAAUUUUAAAAUUAGU